rnacentral:rRNA from 1 species
GCCUACGGGGGGCAGCAGUGAGGAAUAUUGGUCAAUGGGCUUACGCCUGAACCAGCCAAGUCGCGUGAGGGAAGACUGCCCUAUGGGUUGUAAACCUCUUUUGUCGGGGAGCAAGACCCGCCACGAGUGGCGGAGCGAGAGUACCCGAAGAAAAAGCAUCGGCUAACUCCGUGCCAGCAGCCGCGGUAAUACGGAGGAUGCGAGCGUUAUCCGGAUUUAUUGGGUUUAAAGGGUGCGUAGGCGGAAUGCCAAGUCAGCGGUAAAAUCGCGGGGCUCAACCUCGCUCCGCCGUUGAAACUGGCGUU